rnacentral:rRNA from 1 species
UAACCUCGUGAGAGCAAAGCUGCCCGCAAGGGUGGCGCUGAAAGAGAGGCCUGCGUCCGAUUAGCUAGUUGGUGAGGUAAUGGCUCACCAAGGCGAUGAUCGGUAACUGGUCUGAGAGGACGACCAGUCACACUGGGACUGAGACACGGCCCAGACUCCUACGGGAGGCAGCAGUGGGGAAUAUUGGACAAUGGGGGCAACCCUGAUCCAGCGAUGCCGCGUGGGUGAAGAAGGCCUUCGGGUUGUAAAGCCCUUUAGGUUGGGAAGAAGGACAAUUGGUUAAUACCCAGUUGUUUUGACUGUACCGACAGAAUAAGCACCGGCAAACUCUGUGCCAGCAGCCGCGGUAAUACAGAGGGUGCGAGCGUUAAUCGGAUUUACUGGGCGUAAAGGGCGCGUAGGCGGUUUAGUGAGUGUGAUGUGAAAGCCCCGGGCUUAACCUGGGAAGUGCAUCGCAAACGACUGAACUGGAGUAUAAGAGAGGGUGGCGGAAUUUCCGGUGUAGCGGUGAAAUGCGUAGAGAUCGGAAGGAACGUCAAUGGCGAAGGCAGCCACCUGGCUUAAUACUGACGCUGAGGCGCGAAAGCGUGGGGAUCAAACAGGAUUAGAUACCCUGGUAGUCCACGCUGUAAACGAUGACAACUAGAUGUUGUUUGGGGAACCAAGCAGUAUCGAAGCUAACGCGAU